rnacentral:rRNA from 2 species
GCCUGUAAGACUGGGAUAACUUCUGGAAACCGGAGCUAAUACCGGAUAAUCCUUUUCUACUCAUGUAAAAAAGCUGAAAGACGGUUUACGCUGUCACUUACAGAUGGGCCCGCGGCGCAUUAGCUAGUUGGUGAGGUAACGGCUCACCAAGGCGACGAUGCGUAGCCGACCUGAGAGGGUGAUCGGCCACACUGGGACUGAGACACGGCCCAGACUCCUACGGGAGGCAGCAGUAGGGAAUCUUCCGCAAUGGACGAAAGUCUGACGGAGCAACGCCGCGUGAGUGAUGAAGGUUUUCGGAUCGUAAAACUCUGUUGUUAGGGAAGAACAAGUACGAGAGUAACUGCUCGUACCUUGACGGUACCUAACCAAAAAGCCACGGCUAACUACGUGCCAGCAGCCGCGGUAAUACGUAGGUGGCAAGCGUUGUCCGGAAUUAUUGGGCGUAAAGCGCGCGCAGGCGGUCCUUUAAGUCUGAUGUGAAAGCCCACGGCUCAACCGUGGAGGGUCAUUGGAAACUGGGGGACUUGAGUGCAGAAAAGAAGAGUGGAAUUCCACGUGUAGCGGUGAAAUGCGUAGAGAUGUGGAGGAACACCAGUGGCGAAGGCGACUCUUUGGUCUGUAACUGACGCUGAGGCGCGAAAGCGUGGGGAGCAAACAG